UGGCUCAGGACGAACGCUGGCGGCGUGCUUAACACAUGCAAGUCGAACGGAAAGGCCCUUCGGGGUACUCGAGUGGCGAACGGGUGAGUAACACGUGGGUGAUCUGCCCUGCACUUUGGGAUAAGCCUGGGAAACUGGGUCUAAUACCGAAUAGGACCACGCGCUUCAUGGUGUGUGGUGGAAAGCUUUUGCGGUGUGGGAUGGGCCCGCGGCCUAUCAGCUUGUUGGUGGGGUAAUGGCCUACCAAGGCGACGACGGGUAGCCGGCCUGAGAGGGUGACCGGCCACACUGGGACUGAGAUACGGCCCAGACUCCUACGGGAGGCAGCAGUGGGGAAUAUUGCACAAUGGGCGCAAGCCUGAUGCAGCGACGCCGCGUGAGGGAUGACGGCCUUCGGGUUGUAAACCUCUUUCAAUAGGGACGAAGCGCAAGUGACGGUACCUAUAGAAGAAGCACCGGCCAACUACGUGCCAGCAGCCGCGGUAAUACGUAGGGUGCGAGCGUUGUCCGGAAUUACUGGGCGUAAAGAGCUCGUAGGUGGUUUGUCGCGUUGUUCGUGAAAACUCACAGCUUAACUGUGGGCGUGCGGGCGAUACGGGCAGACUAGAGUACUGCAGGGGAGACUGGAAUUCCUGGUGUAGCGGUGGAAUGCGCAGAUAUCAGGAGGAACACCGGUGGCGAAGGCGGGUCUCUGGGCAGUAACUGACGCUGAGGAGCGAAAGCGUGGGGAGCGAACAGGAUUAGAUACCCUGGUAGUCCACGCCGUAAACGGUGGGUACUAGGUGUGGGUUCCUUCCUUGGGAUCCGUGCCGUAGCUAACGCAUUAAGUACCCCGCCUGGGGAGUACGGCCGCAAGGCUAAAACUCAAAGGAAUUGACGGGGGCCCGCACAAGCGGCGGAGCAUGUGGAUUAAUUCGAUGCAACGCGAAGAACCUUACCUGGGUUUGACAUGCACAGGACGCCGGCAGAGAUGUCGGUUCCCUUGUGGCCUGUGUGCAGGUGGUGCAUGGCUGUCGUCAGCUCGUGUCGUGAGAUGUUGGGUUAAGUCCCGCAACGAGCGCAACCCUUGUCCUAUGUUGCCAGCGGGUUAUGCCGGGGACUCGUAGGAGACUGCCGGGGUCAACUCGGAGGAAGGUGGGGAUGACGUCAAGUCAUCAUGCCCCUUAUGUCCAGGGCUUCACACAUGCUACAAUGGCCGGUACAAAGGGCUGCGAUGCCGUGAGGUGGAGCGAAUCCUUUCAAAGCCGGUCUCAGUUCGGAUCGGGGUCUGCAACUCGACCCCGUGAAGUCGGAGUCGCUAGUAAUCGCAGAUCAGCAACGCUGCGGUGAAUACGUUCCCGGGCCUUGUACACACCGCCCGUCACGUCAUGAAAGUCGGUAACACCCGAAGCCGGUGGCCUAACCCUUGUGGAGGGAGCCGUCGAAGGUGGGAUCGGCGAUGGGAC
rnacentral:rRNA from 1 species